rnacentral:rRNA from 1 species
GACGAACGCUGGCGGCGUGCUUAACACAUGCAAGUCGAGCGGUAAGGCCCUUUCGGGGGUACACGAGCGGCGAACGGGUGAGUAACACGUGGGUGACCUGCCCUUAGCUCUGGGAUAAGCCUGGGAAACUGGGUCUAAUACCGGAUAUGACUCCAUGACGCAUGUUGUGGGGUGGAAAGCCUUGUGCGGCUAGGGAUGGGCCUGCGGCCUAUCAGCUUGUUGGUGGGGUGAUGGCCUACCAAGGCGACGACGGGUAGCCGGCCUGAGAGGGCGACCGGCCACACUGGGACUGAGACACGGCCCAGACUCCUACGGGAGGCAGCAGUGGGGAAUCUUGCGCAAUGGGCGAAAGCCUGACGCAGCGACGCCGCGUGGGGA